UCCGUAGGGGGCUAGCGUUGUCCGGAAUCAUUGGGCGUAAAGCGCGCGUAGGCGGCCAGAUAAGUCCGGUGUGAAAGUCACAGGCUCAACCUGUGAAUGCCGCUGGAAACUGUCUGGCUUGAGUCCGGAAGGGGCGAGUGGAAUUCCUGGUGUAGCGGUGAAAUGCGCAGAUAUCAGGAAGAACACCCGUGGCGAAGGCGGCUCUCUGGGACGGUACUGACGCUGAGACGCGAAAGCGUGGGGAGCGAACAGG
rnacentral:rRNA from 1 species